GACGAACGCUGGCGGCGUGCUUAACACAUGCAAGUCGAACGGUAAGGCCCUUCGGGGUACACGAGUGGCGAACGGGUGAGUAACACGUGGGUGAUCUGCCCUGCACUUCGGGAUAAGCCUGGGAGACUGGGUCUAAUACCGGAUAGGACCCUGGGAUGCAUGUCCUGGGGUGGGAAGCUUUUGCGGUGUGGGAUGGGCCCGCGGCCUGUCAGCUUGUUGGUGGGGUGAUGGCCUACCAAGGCGACGACGGGUAGCCGGCUUGAGAGGGUGACCGGCCACACUGGGAAUGAGAUACGGCCCAGACUCCUACAGGAGGCAGCAGUGGGGAAUAUUGCACAAUGGGCGCAAGCCUGAUGCAGCGACGCCGCGUGAGGGAUGACGGCCUUCGGGUUGUAAACCUCUUUCAGCACCGACGAAGCGCAAGCGACGGUAGGUGCAGAAGAAGGACCGGCCAACUACGUGCCAGCAGCCGCGGUAA
rnacentral:rRNA from 1 species